rnacentral:rRNA from 1 species
GAUGAACGCUAGCUACAGGCUUAACACAUGCAAGUCGAGGGACCGGCGCACGGGUGAGUAACACGUAUCCAACCUGCCCUUUACUCGGGGAUAGCCUUUCGAAAGAACGAUUAAUACCCGAUAUAAAGGAUGGGGAUGCGUUUCAUUAGGUUGUUGGUAAGGUAACGGCUCACCAAGCCUUCGAUGGAUAGGGGUUCUGAGAGGAAGGUCCCCCGCAUUGGAACUACGGCACAGACCAAAAUCCGACGGAGGGCAGCAGUGAGGAGUAUAGGUCAAUGGGCGCUAGCCUAAACCAGCCAAGUAGCGUGAAGGAUGAAGGCUUAUGGAUCGUAAACUUCUUUUAUAUAAGAAUAUGUAUUAUAUGAAUAAGGAUCGGCUAACUCCGUGCCAGCCGCCGCGGUAAUAC